GACGAACGUUGGCGGCGUGCUUAACACAUGCAAGUCGAACGGAAAGGCCCUGCUUUUGUGGGGUGCUCGAGUGGCGAACGGGUGAGUAACACGUGAGUAACCUGCCCUUGACUUUGGGAUAACUUCAGGAAACUGGGGCUAAUACCGGAUAGGAGCUCCUGCUGCAUGGUGGGGGUUGGAAAGUUUCGGCGGUUGGGGAUGGACUCGCGGCUUAUCAGCUUGUUGGUGGGGUAGUGGCUUACCAAGGCUUUGACGGGUAGCCGGCCUGAGAGGGUGACCGGCCACAUUGGGACUGAGAUACGGCCCAGACUCCUACGGGAGGCAGCAGUGGGGAAUAUUGCACAAUGGGCGGAAGCCUGAUGCAGCAACGCCGCGUGCGGGAUGACGGCCUUCGGGUUGUAAACCGCUUUCGCCUGUGACGAAGCGUGAGUGACGGUAAUGGGUAAAGAAGCACCGGCUAACUACGUGCCAGCAGCCGCGGUGAUACGUAGGGUGCGAGCGUUGUCCGGAUUUAUUGGGCGUAAAGGGCUCGUAGGUGGUUGAUCGCGUCGGAAGUGUAAUCUUGGGGCUUAACCCUGAGCGUGCUUUCGAUACGGGUUGACUUGAGGAAGGUAGGGGAGAAUGGAAUUCCUGGUGGAGCGGUGGAAUGCGCAGAUAUCAGGAGGAACACCAGUGGCGAAGGCGGUUCUCUGGGCCUUUCCUGACGCUGAGGAGCGAAAGCGUGGGGAGCGAACAGGCUUAGAUACCCUGGUAGUCCACGCUGUAAACGGUGGGUACUAGGUGUGGGGUCCAUUCCACGGGUUCCGUGCCGUAGCUAACGCUUUAAGUACCCCGCCUGGGGAGUACGGCCGCAAGGCUAAAACUCAAAGGAAUUGACGGGGCCCCGCACAAGCGGCGGAGCAUGCGGAUUAAUUCGAUGCAACGCGUAGAACCUUACCUGGGUUUAACAUGGAUCGGGAGUGCUCAGAGAUGGGUGUGCCUCUUUUGGGGUCGGUUCACAGGUGGUGCAUGGCUGUCGUCAGCUCGUGUCGUGAGAUGUUGGGUUAAGUCCCGCAACGAGCGCAACCCUUGUUCACUGUUGCCAGCACGUUAUGGUGGGGACUCAGUGGAGACCGCCGGGGUCAACUCGGAGGAAGGUGGGGAUGACGUCAAGUCAUCAUGCCCCUUAUGUCCAGGGCUUCACGCAUGCUACAAUGGCUGGUACAGAGAGUGGCGAGCCUGUGAGGGUGAGCGAAUCUCGGAAAGCCGGUCUCAGUUCGGAUUGGGGUCUGCAACUCGACCUCAUGAAGUCGGAGUCGCUAGUAAUCGCAGAUCAGCAACGCUGCGGUGAAUACGUUCCCGGG
rnacentral:rRNA from 1 species